CCUACGGGAGGCAGCAGUGGGGAAUAUUGCACAAUGGGGGAAACCCUGAUGCAGCGACGCCGCGUGAGUGAAGAAGUAUCUCGGUACGUAAAGCUCUAUCAGCCGGGAAGAAAAUGACGGUACCUGACUAAGAAGCCCCGGCUAACUGCGUGCCAGCAGCCGCGGUAAUACGUAGGGGGCAAGCGUUAUCCGGAUUUACUGGGUGUAAAGGGAGCGUAGACGGCAGCACAAGUCUGGAGUGAAAUCCCGGGGCUUAACCCCGGAACUGCUGUGGAAACUGUGCGGCUGGAGUGCAGGAGGGGUAAGCGGAAUGCCUGGUGUAGCGGUGAAAUGCGUAGAUAUUAGGAGGAACCCCGGUGGCGAAGGCGGCUUACUGGACUGUAACUGACGUUGAGGCUCGAAAGCGUGGGGAGCAAACAGGAUUAGAUACCCGUGUAGUC
rnacentral:rRNA from 1 species